AUUGAACGCUGGCGGCAGGCCUAACACAUGCAAGUCGAGCGAGCGGCGGACGGGUGAGUAAUGUCUGUGAAACUGCCUGAUGGAGGGGGAUAACUACUGGAAACGGUAGCUAAUACCGCAUACCAUCGGCUUUCCCCCGAUGGGAUUAGCUAGUAGGUGGGGUAACGGCUAACCUAGGCGACGAUCCCUAGCUGGUCUGAGAGGAUGACCAGCCACACUGGAACUGAGACACGCUCCAGACUCCUACGGGAGGCAGCAGUGGGGAAUAUUGCACAAUGGGCGCAAGCCUGAUGCAGCCAUGCCGCGUGUAUGAAGAAGGCCUUCGGGUUGUAAAGUACUUUCAGCGGGGAGGCGUGACCCGCAGAAGAAGCACCGGCUAACUCCGUGCCAGCAGCCGCGGUAAUUA
rnacentral:rRNA from 1 species